UACGUAGGGUGCAAGCGUUGUCCGGAAUUAUUGGGCGUAAAGAGCUCGUAGGCGGUCUGUCGCGUUGGCUGUGAAAACUCGGGGCUCAACUCCGAGCUUGCAGUCGAUACGGGCAGGCUAGAGUUCGGCAGGGGAGACUGGAAUUCCUGGUGUAGCGGUGAAAUGCGCAGAUAUCAGGAGGAACACCGGUGGCGAAGGCGGGUCUCUGGGCCGAUACUGACACUGAGGAGCGAAAGCGUGGGGAGCGAACAGG
rnacentral:rRNA from 1 species